rnacentral:rRNA from 1 species
UACGAAGGUGGCAAGCGUUGUUCGGAUUUACUGGGCGUACAGGGCGCGUAGGCGGUUGGAUAAGCCCUCCGUGAAAUCUCCAGGCUUAACCUGGAAAGUGCAGAGGGGACUGUUCAGCUAGAGGAUGGGAGAGGAGCGCGGAAUUCCCGGUGUAGCGAUGAAAUGCGUAGAGAUCGGGAGGAAGGCCGGUGGCGAAGGCGGCGCUCUGGAACAUUUCUGACGCUGAGGCUCGAAAGCGUGGGGAGCAAACAGG